rnacentral:lncRNA from 1 species
UACAGAGAAUGGCUCGUCUGGACCAGUGCUUAGCUUUGGAGUAAAUUUUUAUGGAUAAUAUUUGAAGUAAUGCUAAAUAUCAGGGGGACAUGCAGAAGAAAUGUAUUGCCCUGACCAUAAGAGCCCUUAAUGAGAACAACAGCAGCAAACAAAUUGGAAUUUACCCAGGGACAGAAGGUAGAAAAAGAAAGAAUAGAAGGAAAGAAAAGGAAGAGAAGAAAUGUURCGGUUUCCCAGAGGAAAUGAUGAAGAUCAAGAUUUGAGAGGAGGGAGCAGGUCAGCAGAGGUAAGGAGAGUUGGAUCAGGUUAGUUACUGAUAGCACUAUAUAGAGUGCAUAUACGUAUAGAACUUAGGAGGCCUUAGUAGUAAGGAAUACA